AGAAAGUUGGACAAGAUGAGAAGAAACUUCUUGUGGAAUGCCGAUGAGGAGGCUCACGGUGGGAAGUGCCUGGUAAACUGGAGACGCAUUUGUGCGCCAAAGUCUGUUGGUGGACUAGGCAUCAAAGACCUUGCCGCUUUCAGCAGAGCACUGAGACUGAGAUGGGCUUGGUUUGAGUGGGAUAACCAUGAUAGACCAUGGAAAGGGACACCGACUCCAUGUGAUAGUUCUGAUAUGCAACUCUUCAAAUCUUGCACAAAAAUAUCCAUCGGCGACGGCUCACGGGCCUUUUUUUGGACUGAUCGAUGGAUGGAUGGAGUUGCUCCGAGGGAGGUGGUGCCCCAGCUGUUUUCCCUCGCCCGUCAUAAGCAGACCACGGUUGCUGAUGCUCUUCAGGAAGGAAAAUGGAUGAUGGGACUGCAGCGAUUGAACUCAGCCGAGAUGCUUUACUCCUUCGUCCUCCUUUGGCACCAAGUCUAG
rnacentral:rRNA from 1 species